AGGAUGAACGCUGGCGGCGUGCUUAACACAUGCAAGUCGAGCGGAGGUUUAAAGCGGAAGUUUUCGGAUGGAAGCAGAAAACCUUAGCGGCGGACGGGUGAGUAACGCGUGGGUAACCUGCCUCAUACAGGGGGAUAACAGUUAGAAAUGACUGCUAAAACCGCAUAAGCGCACAUUGUCGAGUGACAGAGUGUGAAAAACUCCGGUGGUAUGAGAUGGACCCGCGUCUGAUUAGCUAGUUGGUGAGGUAACGGCCCACCAAGGCGACGAUCAGUAGCCGGCCUGAGAGGGCGACCGGCCACAUUGGGACUGAGACACGGCCCAAACUCCUACGGGAGGCAGCAGUGGGGAAUAUUGCACAAUGGGGGAAACCCUGAUGCAGCGACGCCGCGUGAGUGAAGAAGUAUUUCGGUAUGUAAAGCUCUAUCAGCAGGGAAGAAGAAAGACGGUACCUGACUAAGAAGCCCCGGCUAACUACGUGCCAGCAGCCGCGGUAAUACGUAGGGGGCAAGCGU
rnacentral:rRNA from 1 species